rnacentral:lncRNA from 1 species
CCAACUGCAAUUUUCAAAGCAUCAUAAUGCAGCAUAUAAUUCUACUCACUCCACUCCAUACGCAGACAGCUACUCAUCACUAAGGAACACUUGGUUUCUUCUGGUUUCUGUAUUCAGAUUUAACGGAGUACUUAUUUAAUUUUGGAUUGCCAUUGGUAUGACGUUGGUCUUCUUGACAUUGCUGACGUCUGCAACAGGUAGAGCACGAUUAAAUGUCUAAUUUUAUUUCUUUUUUG